rnacentral:rRNA from 1 species
CCUACGGGGUGCAGCAGUGGGGAAUAUUGGGCAAUGGGCGCAAGCCUGACCCAGCAACGCCGCGUGAAGGAAGAAGGCUUUCGGGUUGUAAACUUCUUUUCUCAGGGACGAAGCAAGUGACGGUACCUGAGGAAUAAGCCACGGCUAACUACGUGCCAGCCGCCGCGGUAAUACGUAGGUGGCAAGCGUUAUCCGGAUUUACUGGGUGUAAAGGGCGUGUAGGCGGGACUGCAAGUCAGAGGUGAAAACCACGGGCUCAACCUGUGGCCUGCAUUUGAAACUGUAGUUCUUGAGUGCUGGAGAGGCAGACGGAAUUCCUGGUGUAGCGGUGAAAUGCGUAGAUAUUAGGAGGAACACCAGUGGCGAAGGCGGUCUGCUGGACAGCAACUGACGCUGAGGCGCGAAAGCGUGGGGAGCAAACAGGAUUAGAUACCCGGGUAGUC